CUUCCACGUGUUUAAAGAUUGAUCCAUUUCUAUUAAGGAAUUUUUGAAGACAAUUAAUUUUGUCAAAAUAUUUUUUUUGAUUCUUUAAUUUGUCGACCAAGACGAUAAUUUUACUAGUAUUUCAAAUGGCAUUGUUAUCGACUGUCUUAGUGUUAACAAUAUUAAGCACUGCAGUGACCAGUGAGGAAAAGGUUCAAAUGUCAGAAAUUAGAAAUGGUUUUGUGGAAAUUGAUACCAAUGGUGACGGAAAGGCAACUUUACAAGAAAUUGUGAAACAUAUUGAAACCAAGAAACAGGAACCUGAAGCAGACCACGAAUCAAUGGCGGAGUCUAUUUUCAACUAUUAUGAUAAGAAUAAAGACGGAGUUGUUACACUGCAAGAAUUUCUACCACAUGAUGAAUUAUAAUUUCAAAAGUUUGAAGUUUUUGUUCAUCUGAACACUAACAUUUGAAUAAUUAUAGACAUUUGAUUAUGUAGGCGACAGUUAUACAUUAAUUGUAAAAUACUGGACAAUACAUGAGGGUGUGGAUGGGGGUUUGCAGAAUAGAGAAUAAUUGUCAAAAAGUAUAACGAAUAGAGAAAAAUGUACAAAAAAAAUAAAGAACAGAGAAUAAGGAUGUGCUAAAAUAUAAAGAAUAGAGACUAAUGGGCAAAAAGUAUAAAGAAUAGAGAAAAAUGGACCGAAAUAUUAAAGAAUUCAGAAAAGAAGUACCCCGCCAUCCAGACCCUCAUACAUAUGGUGAUUAUGUAUAGUUACUCAAUAUCUUAUACAUUAUAUAAAAUACGAGCUAUAGAUAGCAGAAAACACCUCAAAAAUUUAUUCUCGUCUGUCUUUUAAAAUGUUAUUUGCUGUUGCUACCUGUAGUUGCACUUUUUAUUUGAUAGAUGUUAUGAGAGUAUCAUCAUCAUUGCUAUUUAAAAAAAAUAUAUCCCAGUG